rnacentral:misc_RNA from 1 species
GAUGAAGAACGUAGCGAAAUGCGAUAAGUAGUGUGAAUUGCAGAAUUCAGUGAAUCAUCGAAUCUUUGAACGCACAUUGCGCCCUUUGGUAUUCCUUAGAGCAUGCCUGUUCGAGCGUCAUUUGAAACCUCAAGCUCAGCUUGGUGUCGGGUGUCUGUCCCCGCCUCACCGCGGGGACUCGCCUCAAAAUCAUUGGCGGCCGGUACGUUGGCUUCGAGCGCAGCAGAAACGCGAACUCGAGGCCCGGCGGAUCGGCGACCAGAAGUCACUUCUUCACAGUUUGACCUCGGAUCAGGUAGGGAUACCCGCUGAACUUAAGCAUAUCAAUAAGCGGAGGA